rnacentral:lncRNA from 1 species
GUUAGGUCUUUUGGUGAAUGCAGUGCAAAAGCUGACUAAAUAAAUACAGUGGAAGUGACCUCUGAGUCUAGGCCUUACGAGACCAGACAGCUUGGACCCCUGAGCCUACCAGGCUCCGAGGAAGCCCCGUCCAGUGCACCAAAGGGUAAGAGCUCGUGUGGAGGAGAACCCAGGCACUUCAGUCAGCCAGCCAGCACCCAAUUCCAGACACACAAAUGAGGUCAUUUGAGACUCUCCAGUCCCAGGAGACCUAUCAUGUGACAGCAGGUACAGGAGUGAGCCCCUGCAAGAUCAGCAGAAGAAUCAUGAGAAAUAAUAAGUUGCUGGGUGAAGCUACUGAGGGGUUGGGUGUUUUAUUAAGCUCAAGGUAUAAGGACGACGGCUGGUGGAUACCUUGAUUUUCUUUGGCGAAGUCUCCUCUGCUCAGAUUGGUCUUGUUGGGGCAGACGUUCAUUGUCACCACCAUUCUAGCCAGUCACCUAGUGCAUUCUCCUGCAGGGUGGAAGUCAUCCAUUCAGGGACAUCCAGAUGGGACAAGCUGGCCCAGUGUGCAAUGUGAUUUGUCGUGCCAAUGAUGCAGAAGAAGCUCCCCCUCCCCCUCCCGCUUUAGUAUCUCAAGUUGUAAAGGCUACAACAUUUUCAGGCCAAGUUCAACUUCCAACUAUACAGAAAAUUGGGACCGAAAGAUGCAACAAGAGCAACCGAACCCUGGAGACAGCAUUUGAGCUUUCAGAAAUAGUCAAACUAGAAUCCGAUAACCCCACAGACUGCCCCGUCACGUAGCAAAUGCAUUCUUCUUUGAUUUAAGUGGAAGGAAAUGGAAUUGAGCAUCUGUUUCUCACCCAAUAAAUAAAGUAGCCACACCCUGUCUCCUGGAGCAGCUCUUUGCUCUUGGAUAAACCUGCCUUCUUUUCUUCUUUGGCCUUGCCCACAACACU